AGAGUUUGAUCAUGGCUCAGAUUGAACGCUGGCGGCAGGCCUAACACAUGCAAGUCGAACGGUAACAGGAAGCAGCUUGCUGCUUUGCUGACGAGUGGCGGACGGGUGAGUAAUGUCUGGGAAACUGCCUGAUGGAGGGGGAUAACUACUGGAAACGGUGGCUAAUACCGCAUAACGUCGCAAGACCAAAGAGGGGGACCUUCGGGCCUCUUGCCAUCAGAUGUGCCCAGAUGGGAUUAGCUUGUUGGUGAGGUAACGGCUCACCAAGGCGACGAUCCCUAGCUGGUCUGAGAGGAUGACCAGCCACACUGGAACUGAGACACGGUCCAGACUCCUACGGGAGGCAGCAGUGGGGAAUAUUGCACAAUGGGCGCAAGCCUGAUGCAGCCAUGCCGCGUGUAUGAAGAAGGCCUUCGGGUUGUAAAGUACUUUCAGCGGGGAGGAAGGUGUUGUGGUUAAUAACCGCAGCAAUUGACGUUACCCGCAGAAGAAGCACCGGCUAACUCCGUGCCAGCAGCCGCGGUAAUACGGAGGGUGCAAGCGUUAAUCGGAAUUACUGGGCGUAAAGCGCACGCAGGCGGUCUGUCAAGUCGGAUGUGAAAUCCCCGGGCUCAACCUGGGAACUGCAUUCGAAACUGGCAGGCUUGAGUCUUGUAGAGGGGGGUAGAAUUCCAGGUGUAGCGGUGAAAUGCGUAGAGAUCUGGAGGAAUACCGGUGGCGAAGGCGGCCCCCUGGACAAAGACUGACGCUCAGGUGCGAAAGCGUGGGGAGCAAACAGGAUUAGAUACCCUGGUAGUCCACGCCGUAAACGAUGUCUACUUGGAGGUUGUGCCCUUGAGGCGUGGCUUCCGGAGCUAACGCGUUAAGUAGACCGCCUGGGGAGUACGGCCGCAAGGUUAAAACUCAAAUGAAUUGACGGGGGCCCGCACAAGCGGUGGAGCAUGUGGUUUAAUUCGAUGCAACGCGAAGAACCUUACCUGGUCUUGACAUCCACAGAACUUUCCAGAGAUGGACUGGUGCCUUCGGGAACUGUGAGACAGGUGCUGCAUGGCUGUCGUCAGCUCGUGUUGUGAAAUGUUGGGUUAAGUCCCGCAACGAGCGCAACCCUUAUCCUUUGUUGCCAGCGGUUAGGCCGGGAACUCAAAGGAGACUGCCAGUGAUAAACUGGAGGAAGGUGGGGAUGACGUCAAGUCAUCAUGGCCCUUACGACCAGGGCUACACACGUGCUACAAUGGCGCAUACAAAGAGAAGCGACCUCGCGAGAGCAAGCGGACCUCAUAAAGUGCGUCGUAGUCCGGAUUGGAGUCUGCAACUCGACUCCAUGAAGUCGGAAUCGCUAGUAAUCGUGGAUCAGAAUGCCACGGUGAAUACGUUCCCGGGCCUUGUACACACCGCCCGUCACACCAUGGGAGUGGGUUGCAAAAGAAGUAGGUAGCUUAACCUUCGGGAGGGCGCUUACCACUUUGUGAUUCAUGACUGGGGUGAAGUCGUAACAAGGUAACCGUAGGGGAACCUGCGGUUG
rnacentral:rRNA from 4 species